AAAAAUAGUUAGAACGGUCAUUCAAUAGUUAACUGCAAGUCUUGUUUUAUUUUUCGUGUGUUCUAGUAUGCUUCCUAUCUGAAACUGCAGGUUAACAUUGUUUUCAUCUACACAAGUCACUGCAAUUCACCAAGUGGUGGAAAAUUAUUGUUUUGCAGUGAUUUCCGACAAGUGAAAAGGUUAUCCAUAGUCUAACACUAUCAUUCCAUAACCUUAACUCUUGUUUGCUUGCACAUUCACUUUGACUCUUUGCAACAGCCCAUCUGCACAACUUGUUCCUGGCUAUAAUGUUGAUUUCUUGAUUGCAAGUAGAAGGCACUGAGAAGUUACUAUGUAUUACCCUGCAUUCCUAAAUGCUUGAUGUUGCUCUUCAUUCACUGCUAGCAAUCAUCAACUUAAUUCUUGCAUCACAAAUUAAUCCUUUUCCCCUUGUGAGACCCGACAUUCUUUAAUUAAGGGAUAGCAACCAAUCACUGACCUUUUCCUAUUUUAAGAUCUAAUCAGAUUGGUUGAGUAUAAACCAUCUAAAUCUUAAUUUGGAAUAGUUUUAGUUGUUGAGAUCAUAUUUACUAAAAACUCUUUUUUUUCAGCAAUUGUCUAUUGUUUGUUUUUUUACUUUCUGUCAAGGUUGUUUGUUAGUAUAAAAGUUGCUGAUAAUCCAAUCAAUAGGGCAUACUCAACCCUCCAUUUUGAAUAAUGUUCCAUAGACAGAACGUUGUCUUUUUGGCGGGUCAUGGAGAGUAGAAGAAUAUCUGCAUGAGAAUUCAAGUUUAAGUUUAACAAGAAUUCUGCUUUACCGAUGUCUUGCGAACAAUCUCAAGCAAAAGAUCAAACAGUAUGCAAAUGAAGAUGCCUCAUUGAUCUACUACAAGCCAUCAAUAUCUCCAAAGAAAGGUAGGUGAAAAUCUAUCAAGAAAACUCUAGAGUAUAGCUCAUCCAGGUAAGAAUCCUACAUUUCAUGAAACUUUGUUCCAAUACCAAAGAUUUAAUCUCAAAACUGGUCGAGUUCUCAACCACUAUGGAUUAACAGCAGAUGAAUGAUAACAUGGUAGUAUUUCACUACAAAUUAUAAGGAUGAACUGUUGCUGCUAAUAGGAUCAAAUGUGAGAAGCACAAGGUUAUAAGGAGUAUUCAAUGCAACAUAUUUUAGAGGUACGGUGGAAUUAAUAACAUGUCCUUUGGCGCUGUGCCGGCUUCCAGGACUGCAUGCCUUUCG